ensembl:rRNA 5S_rRNA 5S ribosomal RNA
GCGUGCAUCAAUACCACCCUGAAUGUGCCCAAUCUUCUCUGAUCUCAGAAGCUAAGCAUGGUCGGGCCUGGUUAGUAUUUGCAUGGGAGAAUCUAUUUUAAAGCCAAGAGAGGAAUGGC